rnacentral:rRNA from 1 species
CGGACGGGUGAGUAACGCGUGGGUAACCUGCCUCACACUGGGGGAUAACACUUAGAAAUAGGUGCUAAUACCGCAUAAGCGCACAGCUUCGCAUGAAGCGGUGUGAAAAACUCUGGUGGUAUACGAUGGUUCCGCGUCUGAUUAGCUAGUUGGUGGGGUAAUGGCCUACCAAGGCAACGAUCAGUAGCCGGCCUGAGAGGGUGAACGGCCACAUUGGGACUGAGACACGGCCCAAACUCCUACGGGAGGCAGCAG